CUAAGUUUGAUGGCGACCGGCGCACGGGUGAGUAACACGUAUCCAACCUGCCGAUGACUCGGGGAUAGCCUUUCGAAAGAAAGAUUAAUACCCGAUGGCAUAGUUCUUCCGCAUGGUGGAACUAUUAAAGAAUUUCGGUCAUCGAUGGGGAUGCGUUCCAUUAGGUUGUUGGCGGGGUAACGGCCCACCAAGCCUUCGAUGGAUAGGGGUUCUGAGGGGAAGGUCCCCCACAUUGGAACUGAGACACGGUCCAAACUCCUACGGGAGGCAGCAUG
rnacentral:rRNA from 1 species